rnacentral:rRNA from 1 species
CUUCCAAGUGUUUGAAAAAUUCUUGGUUGGUCUUUAGAAUAGAUUUUGAGCUUUCUUGGUUUGGAAAGAGUAAUUAGGCAAUGUUGAGUCAUGAAAAUCCAACUCAUGUUGGUGAUCUAGAGUUGUUAGUUAAUAUCAUUUUCAAUGACGCUAAUCUUUUGCUAAUUCAAUUAGUGAGUUGAUUAGGAUUCUUGAUUUGAGAUUAACUAGUCUUGUUUGACUUUCUCUCAUGGAAGAUAACUUACACCUUCUUCCAAUGUUGGAGAUGACAAAAUAAGAUAAAUUCUUGUUUAUUAUUAUGAUAUGAUUGAUUAGUCUUGUUUGACAUUCUCCUUAUGUGAAGAUGAUAUGAUACCUUCUUCUAUUUGUUGGAGUUGACUAAAUAAGAUGAAUUGAUCAUUGUAUGACUAGGAUAGAAAGCCUAUAGUCUCAACCCUUUCCAUGAAUGUCUCUCUCUUUUUACUUGCUUCCUUUAAUUGUUUGCUUGAUUUAACUUUCUUGCACAUUUAAUUUCUCGCCUCUUAUCAAAUCAAACCCCCAUUUGUUCUUCACAGCCAUAAUUUGAGCACUUCAUUGCAACUCCUUGUGAGAUGACUCGGAGUCUAAAUACUUCGGUUAAUUCUUAUUUGGGGUUUGUUAUUUGUGACAAAACCAUAAUUUAAUUUGAUGUGAGAGUUGUUUGUUAGUUUGGAGCUAUACUCACUAUCACCAANCACCGCCGCCCGACCCUGAUCUUCUGUGAAGGGUUCGAGUGAGAGCAUCAUGUCGGGACCCGAAAGAUUGUGAACUAUGCCUGAGCGGGCGAAGCAGAGGAAACUCUGGUGGCGGGCCCGCAGCGAUAACGGGAACGUGCAAAUCACUUCGUCUGACUUGGGUAUAGGGGCAAAGACUAAUCGAACCGUUAGUAGCUGGUUCCCCCGAAGUUUUCCCUCAGGAAAGCUGGAGCAUGCGGGCGAGUUACUAUGGGUAAAGCCAAAUGAUUAGAGGCACGUGGGCGCCAGGCCCCCGACGCAAACUUAAACUAGGGCUAGGACGGCGCGGCUGCUUUGUUGAGCCGUGCCACGGAAUCGAGAGCUCCAAGUGGGCCAUUUUUGGUAAGCAGAACUGGCGAUGCGGGAUGAACCGGAAUCGGGUUACGGUGCCCACUACACGCUAACCUAUACCCCACAAAGGGUGUUGUUCGAUUAAGACAGCUAGGACUGGUGGUCAUGGAAGUCGAAAUCCGCUAAGAGUGUGUAACAACUCACCUUGCCGAAUCAACUAGCCCGAAUAAAGCGAUGGCGGCUGAAGUGCGUGAGCCUAUACAUCCGCCGUGGGGCAAUGGUGUGGCUAUCGCCGCGAUGAGAGGACGGGCGCGGCAGGUCCUGCAAAAACCUAGGGGCGCGAGCCCGGCGCGGAAGCCGGCCGUCGGUGCAGAUCUUGGUUGGUAGUAGGCAAUUAUUCAAAUGAGAACUUUGAAGCCGAAGAGGGGAAAGGUUCAUGUGAACGGCACCUGCACAUGGGUAUAGCUCGACCCUAAGGGACGGGGAAGCCGUCUGAUAGCGCAGCUGGCGCGUACUCCUGAAAGGGAAUCGGGUUAAAAUUCACUGAACCGGGACGUUGCGGACUGACGGCAACGUUAGGGACGUCGAGAGACCGUCGGCGGGGCCUCGGAAGAGUUAUCUUUCUUCUGUUUAAACAGCCUGCCCACCCCUGGGAAACGGCUCAGCCGGAGGUAGGGUCGCAGCGGCUUGGAAGAGCCCCCACGUCGCUGGUGUCCGAGGCGCCCCCGGCGGCCCUUGAAAAUCCGGAGGACCGAGUGCCUAUCACGCCCGGUCGUACUCAUAACCUGCAUCAGGUCUCCAAGGUUAACAGCCUCUGGUCGAUGGAACAAUGUAGUGCAAGGGAAGUGGCAAAAUGGAUCCGUAACCUCGGAAAAGGACUGGCUCUGAGGGCUGGGCACGGGCGUCCCAGCCGAACACGUCGGCUGUCGGUGGACCUGCUCGAGCUGCUCUCGUGGCGAGAGCGGGUCGUGUGCGUGCCGGUCGGGGGUGAUUGGGAAUGGGCCCUGGGGCUUCUUCCCCGGGCAUCGAACAGUCACUCAGAACUUGCGUACGGACAAGGUGGAAUCCGACUGUGUAAUUAAAACAAAGCAUUACGAUGGUCCCUGCGGAUGUUGACGCAACGUGAUUUCUGCCUAGUGCAUCUGAAAUUCGAAGGUGAAAAAUUCAACCAAUCGCGGGUAAACGUCGGGAUGUAACUAUGACUCUCUUAAGCGUAGUCAAAUGCCUCGUCAUCUAAUUAGUGACGCGCAUGAAUUGGAUUAACGAGAUUCCCACUGUCCCUGUCUACUAUCCAGCGAAACCACAGCCAAGGGAACGGGCUUGGCGGAAUCAGCGGGGAAAGAGGACCCUGUUGAGCUUGACUCUAGUCCGACUUGUGAAAUGACUUGAGAGGUGUAGGAUAAGUGGGAGCCGGAAACGGCGAAAGUGAAAUACCACUACUUUUAACGUUAUUUUACUU